rnacentral:rRNA from 1 species
GGGUUUAGAACGUCGUGAGACAGUUCGGUCCCUAUCUUCCGUGGGUGUAGGAUACUUGAGAGGAGUUGCCCCUAGUACGAGAGGACCGGGGUGAACGAUCCACUGGUGGACCAGUUGUCAUGCCAAUGGCAGUGCUGGGUAGCUAUGAUCGGACAGGAUAACCGCUGAAGGCAUCUAAGCGGGAAGCCCCCCUCAAAACAAGGUAUCCCUGAGGACCGUGGUAGACCACCACGUCGAUAGGCCGGAGAUGUAAGCGCUGCAAAGCGUUCAGUUGACCGGUACUAAUUGUCCGAUAGGCUUGAU